UACAGAGACUGCAAGCGUUAUUCGGAUUCACUGGGCGUAAAGGGUGCGCAGGCGGCCAAGUGUGUGAGGCGUGAAAGCCCGGGGCUUAACCCCGGAAUUGCACCUCAAACUACAUGGCUAGAGCAUUGGAGAGGGUAGCAGAAUUCAUGGUGUAGCAGUGAAAUGCGUAGAUAUCAUGAGGAAUACCAGAGGCGAAGGCGGCUACCUGGACAAUUGCUGACGCUCAGGCACGAAAGCGUGGGGAGCAAAAGGGAUUAGAUACCCCUGUAGUCCACGCCCUAAACGGUGCACACUAGGUCUUGGCGGAUUCGACCCCCCCAGGGCCCAAGCUAACGCGUUAAGUGUGCCGCCUGAGGACUACGGCCGCAAGGCUAAA
rnacentral:rRNA from 1 species